CGUCAACGACAGGGGAGCGCUUCGGCGCUGAGAGUGCGGGAGACCGCAGACCCUCACACCUGAUCCGGUUCGCACCGGCGUAGGGAGUCGAGUUCUCAGGUGA
rfam:Knoellia flava TL1 contig1, whole genome shotgun sequence.